AGUGAACGCUGGCGGUAGGCCUAACACAUGCAAGUCGAACGGCAGCACAGUAAGAGCUUGCUCUUACGGGUGGCGAGUGGCGGACGGGUGAGGAAUACAUCGGAAUCUACUUUUUCGUGGGGGAUAACGUAGGGAAACUUACGCUAAUACCGCAUACGACCUACGGGUGAAAGCAGGGGAUCUUCGGACCUUGCGCGAUUGAAUGAGCCGAUGUCGGAUUAGAUAGUUGGCGGGGUAAAGGCCCACCCAGGCGACGAUCCGUAGCUGGUCUGAGAGGAUGAUCAGCCACACUGAGACUGAACCACGACCCAGACUCCUACGGGAGGCAGCAGUGGGGAAUUUUGGACAAUGGGCGCAAGCCUUAUCCAGCCAUACCGCGUGGGGGAAGAAGGCCUUCGGGUUGUAAAGCCCUUUUGUUGGGAAAGAAAAGCAGCAGGUUAAUACCCCGCUGUUCUGACGGUACCCAAAGAAUAAGCACCGGCUAACUUCGUG
rnacentral:rRNA from 1 species